CUACCAUGGGAAUCUAGCCUCCAAAGGACUACAGAAAGAAGCUGGGGGUGGCAGUGUAUGACUGUAACCUGAGCAUCCAGAGGCUGAUGCCACCCUGCACUACACAGUGAAAUGCUGUCUCAUAUACAUUAUUUAAAAAUAUUUAAUUAUUUAAAAAUAAAAGACCCUUUGAGAGGACACUUCGUGGUCACUCACAAAGUAAAGACCCUACGUCCAGACUGCAGGCCUAUUUGUUUCACUCCGAAACAAAAUUGAAAGAAAACCCUUCAAACUGCAUGUGUGAACUCACACCUAUGACCCCAGCACUGGGAAGAUAAAAACUGGAGGCUCGUCCCAUCAUGGUCAUCCUCGGCUACACAUUUCUCCCACCCAGCUUCUUGCCUGAGCAGUGUGUGGAGGUGAAGGAAGAAAAAGCUACACAGGCCUUGAAAUAUCUCUCUCUGCAAGGAAGAGCCAGGAGAGUAUCGGGGCCCAGGCAAACUUCCUCCAGGCGCCACCCAAGCCAGCAGCGCAGAAGAGGUGCACUUGCAGGCCAAACCUUUGAGAACUCCUCCUGCUGACGCCAAGCUGCACAGGAUGCCAAGAGAGCAGCAGUGCAAACAGAAACCGCGGUGCAGAUCCCUUCGUGAAAACCCAUUCGGCAGUCUGGCAAGCAGCCCUGCCCUCUGCUACUUUAUUCCCUCGAUUCAUUGACGUAGAUUCUUUCAUAUCAUAACAGCAGCUGGCCAAACCCAGCUGGAAUGUUUGGUAGCCUUCACCUCCUUCUUUUCAGGGUGAAGGUUGGAAAGA
rnacentral:lncRNA from 1 species